rnacentral:snRNA from 1 species
GGAUGUGAGGGUGAUCUGGCUACGACAUCUGUCACCCUAUUGAUCGCCAGGGUUGAUCUGGCCGAUCUGGCUGGCUAGGCAGGUAGGCGUCCCUUUCCUCCCUCAACACUCCACCUGCGUCCCUCCCGAAGCUGCGCGCUCGGUCGAAGAGGACGACCACCCCCGAUAGAGGGGUACCGUUCCUUGGUCAAGGGUAUACGAGUAGCCGUGCUCCCCUGCUAGAACCUCCAAACAAGCUCUCAAAAAGACAAAAAAAAAAAUUAAUUAACUAAUUCAAGGCCAGCCUGAACUAUACAGUGAGACCUUAUCUCAAAAAAACAAAAAAAAGCAGCUGGGGAUUU